rnacentral:tRNA from 1 species
GGGGAUGUAGGUAGGGCACUUACCUGGCAUGUGAGAGGCCCUGGGUUCAAUUCCCAGCACCACCC